GCCACGUUACGUUUAUUAUCUCGCUUCACCCUCACAACAACUGAGGAGGCUGGUACUGCUUUCAGCCCCAUUUUACAGAUGGGGAAACCGAGAGGGCAGCUGAAUGCCCAGCAACACAUUUCUGUUUUCCUCAGCCACUGUCCCAGUGUUGAUCUGUAACGAACCAUCCAAACACAGUGACUUACUUCCCAGCUCGCGGAGGGCAGGUCGUCUGGGUUCAGCUGAUCUGAGUUGGGCUCGAUGGGGUGACUCUGUGGAGGGUCACCGGGCUGCCGGGCUUGGCCGCAGGCUGGGGAUCGGCCUCAGGUCAGCCCUGCGAAGCUCUCAUCAGCCCUAGGAGGGCAGCUCCUUGGGGCAGGACCUUCCAGAAGCCAAGAACCAAGCCAGAUCCCACAAGUGCACUUAGGGCCUCUGCGUGGUCAAGCCCACGAGUGCCCCAUUGAGCAGAGCAGGUCACCUGGCCAUCCUACAUCAUUGGGAGGCCCCGUGACAUCAUGUGGCAAAAGGGGAAUAAAGAACAGGGAGCCAUGACCCACCAUCAGGCACACGGGGGUGACGACCGAGCUGGGUGCUCACCUGGGCAGGCCAGCUCCAGCCUCCUGGUCUCAAGCACCAGGCUGCUCUGCCCCACAGGCCUGGAGAGGGCUCAGCUUUCAAUCCGGCAGAAUGGGAAGCUGCACUGGCUUGAAUAGCGUUGCCCCUCCCGGAACCUCAGAAUGUGACUUUCUUUGGAAAGAGGGUCUUUGCAGAUGUGAUUAGUUAAGAUGAGGUCGUACUGGGUUCGGGUGACGCUAAAUACAAUGACUAGCGUCCUUGUCUGAAGCCGUGUGAAGACACACAUGGAGAAAGUCGUGUGACCGUGAGGCAGAGAUGGAAGCCAUGCACCUACAAGCCAAGGGACCCCAAGGAGGCCGGUCCCCACCAGCAGCUGGAGGGGGCCUGGAGCAGAUGCUGCCUCGGAGCCCCAGGAGGGACCGCCCCUGCCCCCGAUUUCAGACUUCCGGUUUCCUGAACUUGAGAGACAAAUCACCCUUGUCUGAAGCCACCCGGUUUGUGGUCGUCUGUUGAGGUGCCUCAGCACAGAAGCAGCGAAUGUUCCAGGCAGCGAACACGUGAUCUGAUUUCCGUGUGAAAGGCCCCUGGCUGUGACAGGCAGCCAGCGGAUGCUUCUGUCCCUGAAUUACCUUCUUGAGGAAUUUGCCUCAGCCUGUUCCUGCCUAAGGCCCUCCCAUGAGUUGACCCUCAAAGUUGGGGUCCACCGGCUCCUCAAGCCAUUCAGGCCCCUCGUCCUCGGGGAGCCUUUCCAGGCCACUGGGCACCCAGCCUCCAGCUCUGUCUCCUCUGAACUGUGUAGCUUUUAGUCUUUUAUCUUUUGGCAUAUUUGUGCCUUCUGUCCCUAUUUUCCUCAGCCAUGUGUCAAGGACAGAUGGCGCCCCACAGCCACAUGUGGCCCCCACAACCACGCAAGCAGAACCCCCCCGCACAGAGCAGGGCCCCCGGCUUGGGGUGUGGAGCAGGCACUUUGUCCUCCUGGGUCUCAGUUCACCCAUCUGCAAAAGGAAUGGGUUUGGCUGAAUGGUUUCCAAGGGCUCCUUCUGACUCGAACAUUCUAUGAUUUAAAUACUUAUUUUGGAAUUCUUGGGAUUCCAUCUUAUGAUUCUUCUUGUUCCUUCAAUUACUCAACAAACGCAAAUCAAGAACUCACUGCGGCUGACCCCGUUCUCAGAGCAGGGAUCCACAGCGAACAGACAGUUUCUUCUCUCACGUGGUUGACAUUCCUGUGGGUGGAAAUGACAACAGAAGGGUAUAAAAUGAGUACAUCAAUUUCACAUGGGGACAAGUUCUGUGCAGGACAUAGGGACACGACGUGGGUGCCGAGAGCUUCUUUAGACGGGUGGUCAGGGCUGUCCUCUGAGCAGGUGACACCUGAGCAGAGCAUGGAAGGACAUGAGGGGCAGUAUGACCGCACAAAGAGCACAAUCUGCUCUCCCCGAGACAAAAGCCAGUCGUCAAGAGGGAAAGAUAAAUGAUAAAGAGGCAAUCGAUUUCAGCUGGCUUCAGCCUGUGACGUCUCCAUGCUCACAGGCAGCCUCAGUGCAAUUUACGCAGCGUCAGGGGAUCACCCAGCACGCCGUGACCCAAACCGAGUUCUGCAGAAGCAAGAAGAAAGGUAGACCACCUGUGCUGUGAAUUCAGUGUCUGAUUCUUAAGGUCUUCCCACCAUCC
ensembl:lncRNA